UUUUUUUUUUUUUUUUUGUAGAGACAGGGUCUUGCUAUGCUGGCUGGGCCGGUCUUGAACUCCUGGCCUCAAGCCAUCUUCUUGCCUUGACCUCUCAACGUGCUGGGAUUCCAGAUGUGAGCCACCGCACCCUACCCUUAUUUUCUUUAGAGCGCUCACCACUCUGAAAUUAUUUUAUUGGUAGAGCUGGAGGUGGUGACUCAUGCCUGGAGUCCCAGCACUUUGGGAGGCCUGGGGGAGGCAGAUCACUUGAGCUCAAAAGUUCCAGACUAGCCUGAACAACAUGAUGAAACGUCGUCUCUACUAAAAAUACAAAAAAUGAGCCCGAUGUGGUGGUGCAUACCUGUAGCCCUAGCUACCCAGGAGACUGAGGUAGCAGGAGCACCUGAGCCCAGGAGGUCAAGGCUGCAGUGAGCUGUGAUUGUCUGGAUGAUACAAAUAAGACCCUGUCUCAAAAAAUUAAAAAAUUUUAAUGCCAGUACUGUGAUGAGUGUGACACCAGCACAGUGAGCACUGAGUGAGGGACAACCUAUUCCAUCUCACUCCCACCUGCCCUCUGUGUGGCCAGCUAGACUGUAAGCAACUGAAAGGCAGGCUGUCCUGUUCUCUCUGUUGCUCUCCCUCUUGCUUCUCCCCCUCAGGCCUGACCCAAUGUCCGGUGGUACUGCUUUGGUUUCUCCAGUGUGACAAGCCUGACUGAAGGAGAGCAGAUGGCUGGUCACCAGCACCCUCCUGCUAACUCUCACCUGCCCACUCGUAUAUGACCUCAGUAGUUGAUGUGGAAGUACUCAUGUUUAUACUCACGGAUCCCGAUGUGGAUAAGGUCAGAGCCUCCAAUUCAUUCUUCCUUUCAUUCGUUCAAGAAAUGUUGGCCAGGUGCAGUGGCUCAUGCCUGUAAUCCCAACACUUUGGGAGACCGAGGAGGGCGAAUCACGAGGUCAGGAGAUUGAGACCAUCCUGGCUAACACAGUGAAAUCCCAUCUCUACUAAAAAUACAAAAAUUAGCCAGACAUGGUGGCGGGCGCCUGUAUCCCAGCUACUCGGGAGUCUGAGGCAGGAGAAUCGCUUGAACCCGGGAGGCAGAGGUUGCAGUGAGCUGAGAUCGUGCCACUGCACUCCAGCCUGGCCACACAGCAAGACUCUGUCUCAAAAAAACCAACCAACAAACAAAAAGAAAUGUUUAUUGAGCUGCUGUUAUUUGCCAAGCCCUGUGAAAACAAUCAGAGAUAAUCUUCCUGUCUAGAUCUUGAUGUUGUAUGUACUUCAUGCUUAAUGAGUCUAUAAGCCACAAUUAUAAACAUGUAAAGCACUACUGCAAAUGCUCCCCACAAGCCGGAUGUGGUGGUACGUGCCUGUAGUCCCAGGCUGAGGCGGGGAGAAUCCGUUGAGCCCAAGAAGUUGAGGCUGCAGUGAGCUAUGAUCGCACCACUGCACUCCAGCCUGGGUGAUGGAGCCAGAUCCUGUCUUCCUGUCUUCCUGUCUCAAAAACAAAACCCUGGCUGGGCGCGGUGGCUCACACCUGUAAUCCCAGCACUUUGGGAGGCCGAGGCAGGCCGAUCACGAGGUCAGGAGAUCAAGACCAUCC
ensembl:lncRNA